AGAAGUGUUACAACAGCAGUUGUCUGAUUCUGAAAAUGCGGAAUGUACAUAUGACCAGUCGUUUGAGGAAGAUCCAUUCAUGAACUCGUAUGGAGUGAGUCAGCUUGAUACAGAUCAAAAUAGCAGUGCUGAGAUGACAUCUAUUAAAAGACAUUUGGAAAAUAUCC